UCUGUGGGGGGGUCCCUGUGGGCGGGGGGGGGGGAAACCCAGUUUCUUGUGUGGGUGCUGGUCCUGGCUGUGGCCAUUGUCCUGCCAGACCCCUGGGGUGGCGGGUGGCUCUAUGGGGGUGUUACCAAUUCCCUCCCCACCCUCCUGGCACCCUCGGGGUCACCCCACAGCGCCUGGCUGGGCCCCACCGGGGCAGAUGGGGUGAGGCUGGGCUUCCGUGGCUCCUCCCUGGGUUUCGGCAGCUCGGCCUCCCCUUCCCGGCACCGCCAUCGCUCCUCCUCCGUGUCCCCCACCUGUGGGGCCCCACACCCUCCCCAGGAACGGACCUUCUUUGGGGACAGUGACACCGGUGGCAGGAAGGUUGGGGUGGUGGCCAUGGUGUGGCCAAACGGUUCCAGGCACCCAGGAUCGCCCCUUCCUGCCCCUGGGGGUUUAGGGGGGUCCCACCUGGUGGGGGACCCGCUACGGGUGGCAGCGGGGGACCCCGGGGACCCAGCGUGGGGCCGGGAGGAAGCGCCCGUCGCCGCCGUGCGGAAGCGGUGCCGGCGCGGCCAUGCUGCACCCCGGAUGUGCCGUUCCGGUGCGGAGAGGGAUGGGGUGUCUGCCAGGGCCCUGGCGGAGCCGCACACCCACUGCCACCAGCUCGAGGACAUCCAACGUGACUCCAACCAUCUCCAACACGGGGAUGACCAAUACGCCUCUGUCCAGCCUGGCCACAGUGUCAUCUCCAUCCAGCCUGGCCACAGUGUCAUCUCCAUCCAGCAAAGUGAGCACAACGGCAGCUCCACCAUCUUCACCCAACCCAACUGCCACAGUGUCUCCAUCCGUGACACCAGGCUCAGGGGUGUCCACACCUUCACCCAAUCCAUCCACCACAGUGUCUCCAUCCGUGACACCAAGCUCAGGGGUGUCCACAAUAUCUUCACCCAACUCAACCACCACAGAGCCUCCAUCCAUGUCACCAGGCUCAAGGGUGCCCACAACACCUUCACCCAACUCAACCACGACAUCGCCUCCAUUCGUGACACCAGGUUCGGUGGUGCCCACGACACCUUCACCCAACUCAACCACGACAUCAGCUCCGGCAGCAUCUACAACGCCUUCGCCAUCCCCAUCCAACACGACAUCUUCAGCCACCAGGCAUCCAUCCAACUCGACGGCAGCGCCCCCCCAUCCAUGUCACCAGGCUCAAGGGUGCCCACAACACCUUCACCCAACUCAACCAUGACAUCGCCUCCAUUCGUGACACCAGGUUCGGUGGUGCCCACGACACCUUCACCCAACUCAACCACGACAUCAGCUCCGGCAGCAUCUACAACGCCUUCGCCAUCCCCAUCCAACACGACAUCUUCAGCCACCAGGCAUCCAUCCAACUCGACGGCAGCGCCCCCCAGCCCCACUUCUGUGCCCACCGUGAGCCCUAGGCCUAACAGCACCUUGGCCACCAGCUCCAGAAUGACACUGGCCAUCAGCAUCAGCACUGUGGCUGACAACUUGGGUGAGAACCAGGCUGGGAGGGGGGGCACCAUGUGGGCAGGGAGCCCCCAGACCCGCCGAUGGGCAUGGCAGCAGCCCCAGGUCCCCCUAGACCCCCCCGAUUCAGGGGUUGCACUUGCAGGAUGGGGCAGGGGGGCUCUGGGUGCACCCCCUGGGCUGCCCCAUCCACGUUGGGUUGGGAGGGGGGUUAUUGAGACAUCCCCUUUUUUUUCCCCCAACCUUUUUCUCAUGGGACCUCGACCAGGGAGGGUGG
rnacentral:lncRNA from 1 species